AAAAAAAAAAAAAAAAAAAGUAAGAGUGAGCAGAAAUUAUUUCCCUUUUCACAUAAGUAAAUCGUUUGCAUUGCAAACAUUUAGGCUAUAUACUUUUAAAUGGAAAAUUUUCAUCAUUAUAACAAACAUAAUUAAAAGUAUAAUUGGCUAUAUACUGUAAAGAAAUUAAUAACUAGGUUAUGGAUAAAAAAAAAUGGAAAAAGAAAUCGAUUUUCUUUUUCAAAAAUUGGAAAAACAUAUACACUUACCGCUGAGUUAAUACUUUGUGGAACCUGAUAUCAACCGGAACUGCAAUUUUUAAAAAGUAUUUCUUUGCCAGCUUUGCACAUCUUUGUCAAAUUUUGCUAAACGUCAUCCUUUCUCCCCCCUUUUUUUCUUUUUCAGAACGGCUUAAUCACAGUCAGAUUACACUGAAGACUCCUGUGAAUCGAACUGUAUUCACAGGGAAUUAGAUUUAGAUCUGAACUUAGGUCUGAGGAAUUCCAACACCUUAACAUUUGGCUGUAUGUUUAGAGCCUUCCUACUCGAAAGCAGUACUCCGCCCCAGUCCCAAGUUAUUUGGAGCCUGUAACAGGCUUCUUUCCAGCAUUGUACUCUAUUUUAACCACUCAUCAUAUCAGCUCAGAACAGCUUUCCUGUGCCUGCAGACGAAACUCAUCGCUACAGGGUGGCAGCAUCAGGGAAAGUGUGUUCAGACGCAGAAGAGUUCAAAAAGCCCACAAACGCAGCUAAGGUGGCUUUCAACUGGCAGGACUCUCUGGAUCUCGAGGGUCAGCUGACAGAAGAGGAAAUCAUGAUCUGGGACACCUUCCGCAACUACUGCCAAGAAAUGCUCAUGCCUCGCAUUCUGAUGGCUAACAGGCAUGGACGAUACGGCUGUGCAGGCACUAGUUAUGUUGCUUAUGGGUUGAUUGCUAGAGAGGUUGAGAGAGUGGACAGUGGGUAUCGGUCUGUCAUGAGUGUCCAGUCUUCGCUAGUCAUGCACCCCAUCUAUUCUUACGGCACAGAGGCCCAGAAGGAGAAGUACCUGCCCAGACUUGGUAAGGUGCAGCUUUUUUUCCAACCAACUUUGGUUCCAGAGGGAAAACAAUUAGAUCAUUACACUCACCGGUAUGUGUUUAUUUAUUCUGCAGCUUGGGGGGAAAUCAUUGGCUGCUUUGGGUUGACUGAACCAAACCACGGCAGUGACCCGAGUAGCUACCAUUAUUUGCUUAAAACAAUGGUAGUAAGAAGUUCUGCGAACAUUGUCUACUCGGAUGUUGCCAUGCUGUAUAGUGUUAACUUGAAUGCUGCUUUUUGGGUGUAAAGUCCAACCCAGCUCAGAGUUCCAACUUCUGAGGCAACUGGAACGCAGCACAAGUUUGAGAAGAAGGUGGACUGAGAUGAAAAGUAAACCUGAGUGCCAUCUGCAAUUGAAACAUUCUUGAAGGAAGGAGAAAUGUAAUAAAACAGAAGGGGUCCAAGAACAGGCCGAUGAGGAAGUUAAUUUUCCAGUAACUGGAAAAUUAUACUGAUUGUUUUUUUUCACUUGAAUGUGCUGAGCGCAUCCAGACAUAUGAUAUGGACGGUGCUAUUUUUUUCUGCCAGGAUCACAAACUCACCUGUUGCAGACAUUGCUGUGUUCUGGGCCAGGUGUGAGGAUGGCAGAGUUUAGGGCUGGAAUAGCUGUGGCAAGGCUCUGGAUAUUGCCAGACAAGCCAGGGACAUGUUGGGAGGAAACGGCAUUGCAGACGAGUACCACAUCAUCAGUCACGUCAUGAAAAUGGAGGCUAUCAACACUUACGAAGGGACCCAACGACAUUCAUGCUUUGAUCCUGGGCCGAGCUAUCACCGGGCUGCAGGCGUUCACCGUGGAAAAAUAGAUGGACUUCAGCAUCUAGAUAAAGCUGAUGAUCUGAAAAAUCUGGGAAGUACAGUUUCCUCCUACAAGCAGCAGUGCUGCUGGACAUAUGUGAUAAAUACUUGAUCACACUUAUGUUUAUGAAACUACUGGGACAAGAUAUUUAUUUGUGUUGAAGUUUCAUGCUUAGGGCUACUGUCAGUAUUUGAACUAUUGUUCACUAUAAAAGUUAUGACUUGUAUAGUAAAAAAAAACAAACAGUUAAGCGUUUGAUUGUUUAAUAAGUUGGUGAAUGUUAUAUUUUGUAUUACUUGAUUAUGUAAAUAAAUUGGUUUGAAUGAUUAUAGUUGAAAUACUGUAUAUACAGACCCUGAUAAUUCCUCCGAGUAAGAUUUGUGUGCUGCAAAUGUUCUGUAAAUAACACAACAUAACUUGGCAUUGUUCCCUUUUCUUGUGAAUGUAUUUAUUACAAAACAAUACGAUGCUGAAACUGAACAUGAAGCAAAUGUGAACUUA